rnacentral:ncRNA from 1 species
UGCUCACAUUUAUCAUCUGAGGGUUGUUUUGUAGGACAGUGGAAGUCGGAACCCGCUAAGGAGUGUGUAACAACUCACCUGCCGAAUCAACCAGCCCUGAAAAUGGAUGGCACUGGAGCGU